UUUUGACCCCGGUGGGCCCCCUUACCUCAUCUCAGAGUACCCUGUAGUUACCUUACGCGAUGGCAGCAUCCUUUACUCUGCCCCCCUUGGCCAGAGUGACAUCAUCGAGGAAUUCCCCAUCGAUCCCGAUUUUCCCAAUGACUACGACUUCCCUUUCCCCGUCCUGGAGAGUGGAGAUGUGAGUGGACGUCCUGUUGAGGGCUCCUUUCCUGGACAGUCAGUCAGUGGUGGAGUGUUAGGACCCUUCCCCGGAUCAGAUCCCUCCACAGCAGAGACAAGCUGGGACCCCAAUGGAACACUAGAACCAUCAGGCAAUCAGACAGGCACAUAUAACUUCACUG